UACGUUGGCAGCAAGCGUUGUUCGGAGUUACUGGGCGUAAAGGGUGUGUAGGCGGUCUUUUAAGUUUGGUGUGAAAUCUCCCGGCUCAACCGGGAGGGUGCGCCGAAUACUGAGAGACUUGGAGUGCGGGAGAGGAAAGUGGAAUUCCUGGUGUAGCGGUGAAAUGCGUAGAUAUCAGGAGGAACACCGGUGGUGUAGACGGCUUUCUGGACCGUAACUGACGCUGAAACACGAAAGCGUGGGUAGCAAACAGG
rnacentral:rRNA from 1 species